CGCAGCCGCGGUAAUUCCAGCUCCAAUAGCGUAUAUUAAAGUUGUUGCAGUUAAAAAGCUCGUAGUUGAAUUUCGGGGUUAGCAAGUUGGUCGUGCCACUGGUAUGUACUGGCUUUGCUGAUUCCUCCUUCUUGUAGAACCGUAAUGCCAUUCAGUUGGUGUUGCGGGGAAACAGGACUGUUACUUUGAAAAAAUUAGAGUGUUUAAAGCAGGCUAACGCCUGAAUACAUUAGCAUGGAAUAAUGAAAUAGGACGAGCGAUCCUAUUUUGUUGGUUUCUAGGAUUGACGUAAUGAUUAAUAGGGAUAGUUGGGGGCAUUAGUAUUCAAUUGUCAGAGGUGAAAUUCUUGGAUUUAUUGAAGACUGACUACUGCGAAAGCAUUUGCCAAGGAUGUUUC
rnacentral:rRNA from 1 species